UUGAACGCUGGCGGCAGGCCUAACCCCUGCAAGUCGAGCGGAUGAAGGGAGCUUGCUCCUGGAUUCAGCGGCGGACGGGUGAGUAAUGCCUAGGAAUCUGCCUGGUAGUGGGGGAUAACGUCCGGAAACGGGCGCUAAUACCGCAUACGUCCUGAGGGAGAAAGUGGGGGAUCUUCGGACCUCACGCUAUCAGAUGAGCCUAGGUCGGAUUAGCUAGUUGGUGGGGUAAAGGCCUACCAAGGCGACGAUCCGUAACUGGUCUGAGAGGAUGAUCAGUCACACUGGAACUGAGACACGGUCCAGACUCCUACGGGAGGCAGCAGUGGGGAAUAUUGGACAAUGGGCGAAAGCCUGAUCCAGCCAUGCCGCGUGUGUGAAGAAGGUCUUCGGAUUGUAAAGCACUUUAAGUUGGGAGGAAGGGCAGUAAGUUAAUACCUUGCUGUUUUGACGUUACCAACAGAAUAAGCACCGGCUAACUUCGUG
rnacentral:rRNA from 1 species